rnacentral:rRNA from 1 species
AGCGAACGCUGGCGGCAGGCUUAACACAUGCAAGUCGAGCGGGCAUAGCAAUAUGUCAGCGGCAGAGGGGUGAGUAACGCGUGGGAACGUACCUUUUGGUUCGGAACAACACAGGGAAACUUGUGCUAAUACCGGAUAAGCCCUUACGGGGAAAGAUUUAUCGCCGAAAGAUCGGCCCGCGUCUGAUUAGCUAGUUGGUGAGGUAAUGGCUCACCAAGGCGACGAUCAGUAGCUGGUCUGAGAGGAUGAUCAGCCACAUUGGGACUGAGACACGGCCCAAACUCCUACGGGAGGCAGCAGUGGGGAAUAGUGGACAAUGGGCGCAAGCCUGAUCCAGCCAUGCCGCGUGAGUGAUGAAGGCCGUAGGGUUGUAAAGCUCUUUUGUGCGGGAAGAUAAUGACGGUACCGAAAGAAUAAGCCCCGGCUAACUUCGUG